GUUGUAACGAAGUGCCGCACACUGGCUGGCCUAGAACAACAGGAGCGUGUUCCCUGCUAGGUCUGUUGUAACGAAGUACCGCACACUGGCUGGCCUAGAACAACAGGAGAGUGUAUUCCCUGCUAGGUCUGUUGUAACGAAGUGCCGCACACUGGCUGGCUUAGAACAACAGGAGUGUAUUCCCUGACAGUUGUGGGAGCUGCACAUUCGAGAUCAGGAUGUCCUCAGGGUUGGUGCCUUCCGAGGGCUGUGAGGGAGAAGUGGCUUCGUGCCUUUGCUGGCAGUUGCCGUUCCUUGGUGUGUGGAAGCGUCACGCACUCUCUGCCUUCAUCCCCACGUGGCAGUCUUGCUGUGGCGUGUCUGUCCCCAAGCCUCCCUUUGUUUAGGGACACCAGUCAUAUCGGAAUAGAGCCCAUCCCACCAACUCCAUUAUAACGUCUUCUGUGUCCGCAGCAGCUGUUUACCAAUAAGGUCACAUUCUGAGGUACUAGAGGUUGGGACUUCAACAUUGGAAUUUGAAAGGGACAGCAUUCAGCCCGUGACUCCGGAUAAACGUGAGGUAUGCUAUCAUUCCUGAUUCACAGAUGAGUCAAUACAAACUUGAGUGAGCUUGCUCACUGUUCGAAGGCAGUGUUCAGACCCAAGUUUGGCAUUCAGGGCAGGUGUCCUCUGCAUGGAAGAAUCUUACUCAGUAGCCUUAAGGCUGACAAAUUCCCCUCCUCCCUGCCUUCUGAUGGGGGCUGGGCAGGCCAGCUGGAGCUGUGUCUCCUGCUGGGAUUCUGGACUGAGUGACAGUGGGUAGUGAAACCUCAAGCAAUUUAAAACGUGGUAUUGUUCCUGGAAGACUGGUUAUGUUGGCUAGGGUCAGCAAGAGAGGGCAUCAAGGCUGUAGUCUAGCAGUGACUUAAUCUGCAAGUCACACCAGACGGGUAUUUUGUAUUAUUCAUAUGUCAGAUCCUACCAACAGGCAGUGAGCCAGGCAGAGCUCCUGGUGCUCCUUGUCACUCACAUAAUUUUCACAUCAAGAAAACUCUGGGCCGGGCGCAGUGGCUCACACCUGUAAUCCCAACACUUUGGGAAGCCAAGGUGGGUGGAUCGCCUAGCUCAGUGACAGCAGCCUGGGCCACAUGGCAAAACCCCAUCUCUACCAAAAAUACAAAAAAUUAGCUGGGUGUGAUGGUGCAUGUUUGCAGCCCCAGCUACUCUGGAGGCUGAGGUGGGAGGAUUGCUUGAGUCUGGGAGGCAGAGGUUGCAGUAAGCCAAGAUUGCGCCACUGCACAAGCUGGAUGACAGAAUGAGACCCUGUCUCAAAAAUAAUUUAAAAGCCUCUGCCCCAAACUCGUUAAAAGAUUUUAUAACCACAACUACUGUUUCUGUGUAGAUGCCUCUGCGUGCCCAGGAGCAGUAAAUGCAAUAAAAUCAUUUGGUUAUACUUUGAA
rnacentral:lncRNA from 1 species